GCCAGUGUGGUGUAGUGGUCUGAGUGUUGCACUACAACUCUGAAGACCAGGGUUCAAAUCCCUGCUCAGUCA